AUGUCGUGGGAAAACUGCCUGUAUGGCAGGGGGAUAACUACGUGGAAAACGGUAGCUAAUACCGCAUAACGUCGCAAAACCAAAGAGGGGGACCUUCGGGCCUCUUGCCAUCGGAUGUGCCCAGAUGGGAUUAGACUUGAUUGGUGAGGUAAAGGCUCACCAGGGCGACGAUCCCUACCUGGUCUGAGAGGAUGACCAGCCACACUGGAACUGAGACACGGUCCAUACUCCUACGACAGGCACCAGUGUGGAAUAUUGCACAAUGGGCGCAAGCCUGAUGCAGCCAUGCCACGUGUGUGAAAAAGGCCUUCGGGUUGUAAAGCACUUUCUGCGAUGAGGAAGGCGGUGAGUUUAAUAAGCUCACCGAUUGACGUUACCCGCAGAAGAAUCACCGGCUAACUCCGUACCACCAGCCGCGGUAAUACGGAGGGUGCAACCGUUAAUCGGAAUUACUGAGCGUAAAGCGCACUCAGGCGGGCUGUCACCUCCGAUGUAAAAUCCCCGUUCUCAACCUGGGAACUGCCUUCUAAACUGGCAGGCUAUAGUCUUGUAUAGGGGAGUACAAUUCCAAGUGUAACACUCAAAU
rnacentral:rRNA from 1 species